CCAUUUCGUGGAAAUGGUUCGAACUUCACUGAAAACUUGCUUUAGAUAUUCUUACAAUAAUGAUGACAUUGGUAAAACAACAACAACAUCUAUGCUUUGAUGAUUAUUUAUCACUUUCAAGAUGUCGUUGUUAUUUUUCUACCAAUGAGAAAUUAUUAAUUCUCUAACUACUACUGCUGCUGCUGCUACUACUAUUUCUACUACUACUACGACUACUACUACUACUACUACUACUGCUAUAAACUGCUACUUCUACUACAACAACUACUACUAUCUUUCUGCUAUUAUCAAUGUUGCUACUAUUGUUGCUUUUAAUCCAUUAUCAUAGCUUCCGUUAUUUGCAGCUGAAGUUUGAAAAGCUAUUUAAUAUUUGAUUGCAAAUGUGAAAAAUAGAAACGAUCCAACCAUCCAGCCAAAGGCAGGCUACACAUAAUACAAUACACACACACACACAGAUGCACACAAACACAUAGACACAAAUACUUAUGAAGAUAUGUGUGUGUGUGUGUGUAUUAUUAUUAUUAUUAUUAUUAUUAUUAUUAUUAUUAUUAUUGGUGUUGUUGUUGUUGUUUUUGUUGUUAUUAAUAUUAUUAUUAUUAUUAUUAUUAUUGUCGUUGUUAUUAUUAUUAUUGGAGUAUUUCCCCUACAGGUGAGCUCUUCCAUUCUUGCUGCCUCUCAGAACUUCGUCAGGGCAGGUAAUAUUGAUUGCACUUGUACAUUGCUAUUUACUGUUUAGAUGCUAUUGUAAGAAGUACAACCAAAAAGCAAAGGUGUAUAUAGAAAACAUCAUAAAAUAUAUAGCUCUACAUGACCACGUGUGUCUCUGCUUAUAAUGUUAAACAAUGAUAAAAUGAGGCAAAAAGAAAAUAAUACAUUAAUACACAUUAAUACAUAAUGAACAGAUAAAAUACGUAGCAAAAAUUACACAUACACACGCACACACAUACACACACACACAUAUAUAUACUCAUAUAUACGUACCCAGAAUAACCUCGCCUUGGGUUUCAAUUGGAUAUUUGGGUAAAGCAUUAACUUUUACUGUACAACUGAUUUUGUGCUGAUCGCUUCGGUUUAUCAUAUCUUAAUUAAUUAAAGGCGGUCGGUUAUCGAAUUCAUAGGUGACCAAGUACUUAUAGAUUCCGCCGCACAAAAGCAUUUAUUCACACACAUAUACCCAUACAUAAAUACACACACAUAUAUAUAAUCAUACAUAGGCGUAGAUUUUGCUGUGUGGUAAGUAGCUUGCUUCCCAACCACGUGGUUCCGGGUUCAUUCCCACUCCGUGACACCUUGAGCAAGUGUAUUCUAGCUUCGGGCCGACCAAAGCCUUGUGAGUGGAUUUGGUAGGCGGAAACUGAAAGAAGCCUCUCAUAUAUAUAUAUAUUCAUAUAUAUAUUCUCAUAUAUAUAUAUGUGCGUGUGUGUGUAUGUGUGUGUGUGUGCGCGCGCGCAUGUAUUUGUGUGUCUAUGUUUGUCCCCCAGCAUCACUUGAUAACCAAUGUUGGUAUGUUUAGGUCCCCGGUUCAGCAAAAGACACCGAUAAAAAAGAAACUGAUGGCUUACAAAGAAUAAGUUCUAGGGUCGAUUUGUUCGACUAAAAGCGGUGCUCCAGCAUGGCCGUAGGCAUAUGACUAAAACAAAAGAAUAUACCUAAACAAGAUUUUAUAUAUAUAUAUAUAUAUAUAUAUAUAUAUAUA
rnacentral:lncRNA from 1 species